rnacentral:lncRNA from 1 species
GUGGUUAACAAAAACUGCCAGACACUUAUUCUCUAGCAAAUUUAUUAUCUCCUUACUUUUCCUUAACAGUAAUAUUCCUUAACGCAGAAAAACUAAUGUGAAGUACAAGAAGUGUUUUUUCUUCUUCUUUGGUCUAUAGCUUUUUAAUAUGCGUUGAAUUUAUAGGUGUGUGUAUAUUUGCAUUAUAGGUGUAUAAAUCUAUAGGGGGAACCAGCAUGAGUAAGUUGGAGGAAGGGACAAUGUUGGGGGAGUAGUUUGGGUAUGCGCUUCCUGGCAGUAACCACUUGGAGUUGUAAACUGAAAAAGGGGGUAUUGUCUCUGUGUGAAUGUGUGUGUGUGUGUGUGUGUGUGUUGUUAAGGGAGGGUAGUAAUCUAGUUUGGGGGGAAGAAAGGUUAUGGGGAAUGCCACUCUUAUCUGCUGUUGCAACAGUCCACAAAGCUACACACUGAUAAGACUUCCUGUCACACUGAACCAAUCAUAUAUAAACGCACUUGGAAGCAACAAUCACACUCUCACUUUGAACUCAGCGCUGGACUUAAAAACACAUGCUCACUAAAAACACAUAUUUCCAUUCAGAUGGACUCGACCUCUGCCUGCUGGGAUGGGGUGUUUUUAAGAGUUUGCUUUCGGAGUUACCGGAGACAUCGGAGGAGCGGACCGAGCCUCACACAGCAUCAGCAUGAGAUUCUUCCAUCCACUGUAUCUCCUUCUGCUGCUGCUGACAAUCCUGUACAUCACCAGCGCAGAGAAACAAGGUACAUGACCACGAGUGCUUGUGUAGAGAGGACAGAAUACCUGCACGAAAAAACAAGUGACGCAAAAAAAAAAAAAAAAAAAAAAAAAAAAAAUUGCUGCAACGAAACCUACAUUAAGAAAAUGUGUAAGGAUUUUUUGUUUAAUAUAUUUAUAUAUAUUUUUUUACUUUUGUAA